CCUACGGGUGGCAGCAGUGAGGAAUAUUGGUCAAUGGGCGGAAGCCUGAACCAGCCAAGUCGCGUGAGGGAAUAAGGCCCUACGGGUCGUAAACCUCUUUUGCCGGGGAGCAAGGGCGGGGACGUGUCCCGGCCCGGAGAGUACCCGGAGAAAAAGCAUCGGCUAACUACGUGCCAGCAGCCGCGGUAAUACGUAGGGGGCAAGCGUUAUCCGGAUUCACUGGGCGUAAAGGGAGCGCAGGCGGCAUGGCAAGUCUGAUGUGAAAACCCGGGGCCCAACCCCGGGAGUGCAUUGGAAACUGCCAGGCUGGAGUGUCGGAGGGGUAAGCGGAAUUCCUAGUGUAGCGGUGAAAUGCGUAGAUAUUAGGAGGAACGCCAGUGGCGAAGGCGGCUUACUAGACGACUACUGACGCUGAGGCUCGAAAGCGUGGGGAGCAAACAGGAUUAGAUACCCCUGUAGUC
rnacentral:rRNA from 1 species